ACUCAUUGGUGUGAUGAUGUGUCA
rnacentral:siRNA from 1 species